UAUGGUAAUUGUCAGCAGCCGCGGUAAUACGUAGGGGGCAAGCGUUAUCCGGAUUUACUGGGUGUAAAGGGAGCGUAGACGGCACGGCAAGCCAGAUGUGAAAGCCCGGGGCUCAACCCCGGGACUGCAUUUGGAACUGCUGAGCUAGAGUGUCGGAGAGGCAAGUGGAAUUCCUAGUGUAGCGGUGAAAUGCGUAGAUAUUAGGAGGAACACCAGUGGCGAAGGCGGCUUGCUGGACGAUGACUGACGUUGAGGCUCGAAAGCGUGGGGAGCAAACAGG
rnacentral:rRNA from 1 species